rnacentral:rRNA from 1 species
GACGAACGCUGGCGGCGUGCUUAACACAUGCAAGUCGAACGGAAAGGCCCUGCUUUUGUGGGGUGCUCGAGUGGCGAACGGGUGAGUAACACGUGAGUAACCUGCCCUUGACUUUGGGAUAACUUCAGGAAACUGGGGCUAAUACCGGAUAGGAGCUCCUGCUGCAUGGUGGGGGUUGGAAAGUUUCGGCGGUCGGGGAUGGACUCGCGGCUUAUCAGCUUGUUGGUGGGGUAGUGGCUUACCAAGGCUUUGACGGGUAGCCGGCCUGAGAGGGUGACCGGCCACAUUGGGACUGAGAUACGGCCCAGACGCCUACGGGAGGCAGCAGUGGGGAAUAUUGCACAAUGGGCGGAAGCCUGAUGCAGCAACGCCGCGUGCGGGAUGACGGCCUUCGGGUUGUAAACCGCUUUCGCCUGUGACGAAGCGUGAGUGACGGUAAUGGGUAAAGAAGCACCGGCUAACUACGUG